UUAAAAGACAACCAGUGAACCAAAUGAAAGUCAAAGUAGAGCUUUUGACAGUUCGGGAGAAAGCCCUGCGUACAAGUUAAUGUGAUGUUCUUUAUCGCCUUUGAGCAAAAUUUUACGCUCGAUUUACAUUGAAAGCAAAGAUUCAAGUCUCUCCUGAACCAUGGAUGAGCGAAUGCGAGGCUUCACCCUCUUGAGUGCAGAAAACGAACGCUCUGCAGUCGACUAACUAACUGGGAUGGCCACAGCAAUAGCAAAAACGCGACAGAGACUUGGAUACGCAUCAACCAAACUAUAAUCUGGGUUACAAAGGAGUGAAAGAGCUUCAGAGAAAGAUGGAACUUUUUUCUUCGAUUGUUUUUCAGCUUUCUUGCCGCCGCUGUCGCUCUGCUCAUUAUCUUACGUGCUUGAGAUUUCGUCGUCGUCCUCGUCAUCAUCAUCAUAACCAUCCGUUGUCCUCGCCGUCAUCAUCAUCAUAGUCAUCGUCGCCCUCGUCGUCUUCGCUGUCAUCAUCAUCAUCUUCUUGCUGGCAGACAGUUGAACAGUCGAAUUUCUCAAAAGAACGAACAAAAUUGAACAAUUCGUCAGCACAUCUAAACGCAU